rnacentral:rRNA from 1 species
UACGAAGGGGGCUAGCGUUGCUCGGAAUUACUGGGCGUAAAGGGCUCGUAGGCGGCCAACUAAGUCGGAUGUGAAAUCCCCAGGCUCAACCUGGGAACUGCAUCCGAUACUGGAUGGCUUGAAUUCGGGAGAGGGAUGCAGAAUUCCAGGUGUAGCGGUGAAAUGCGUAGAUAUCUGGAGGAAUACCGGUGGCGAAGGCGGCAUCCUGGACCGACAUUGACGCUGAGGAGCGAAAGCUAGGGGAGCAAACGGGG